rnacentral:rRNA from 1 species
AACGAACGCUGGCGGCAGGCCUAACACAUGCAAGUCGAACGCGUCCUUCGGGACGAGUGGCAGACGGGUGAGUAACGCGUGGGAACGUACCCUUUGGUUCGGAACAACAGCGGGAAACUGCUGCUAAUACCGGAUAAGCCCUUCGGGGGAAAGAUUAUCGCCAGAGGAUCGGCCCGCGUUAGAUUAGCUUGUUGGUGAGGUAAUGGCUCACCAAGGCUACGAUCUAUAGCUGGUCUGAGAGGAUGAUCAGCCACACUGGGACUGAGACACGGCCCAGACUCUUACGGGAGGCAGCAGUGGGGAAUCUUGGACAAUGGGCGAAAGCCUGAUCCAGCCAUGCCGCGUGAAUGAUGAAGGCCCUAGGGUUGUAAAAUUCUUUCGACGGGGAAGAUAAUGACGGUACCCGUAGAAGAAGCUCCGGCUAACUCGUGCCAGCAGCCGCGGU